GAUGAAGAACGUAGCGAAAUGCGAUACGUAAUGUGAAUUGCAAAUUCAGUGAAUCAUCGAGUCUUUGAACGCACAUUGCGCCCCCUGGUAUUCCGCGGGGCAUGCCUGUCCGAGCGUCAUUGCUGCCCUCAAGCACGGCUUGUGUGUUGGGCCCCGUCCUCCGAUCCCGGGGGACGGGCCCGAAAGGCAGCGGCGGCACCGCGUCCGGUCCUCGAGCGUAUGGGGCUUUGUCACCCGCUCUGUAGGCCCGGCCGGCGCUUGCCGAUCAACCCAAAUUUUUAUCCAGGUUGACCUCGGAUCAGGUAGGGAUACCCGCUGAACUUAAGCAUAUCAAUAAGCGGAGGA
rnacentral:misc_RNA from 1 species